UACGUAGGGCGCAAGCGUUGUCCGGAAUACUGGGCGUAAAGCGUGCGCAGGCGGUUCGUUAAGUUCGUUGUGAAAGCCCCGGGCUCAACCUGGGAAUUGCAUUCGAGACUGAAUAGCUAGGGUACGGUAGAGGGAAGCGGAAUUUCCGGUGUAGCGGUGAAAUGCGUAGAUAUCGGAAGGAACAUCAGUGGCGAAAGCGGCUUCCUGGACCAGUACCGACGUUCAGGCACGAAAGCGUGGGGAGCAAACAGG
rnacentral:rRNA from 1 species